rnacentral:lncRNA from 1 species
GUCUGUGUCACAGAAGUCUGACAGACAGCCACAGUCAAGAGAUGGCAGCAGGCAUGUGAUGCGACCAGCUGAAGCAGGCCUCCUUCCCAGCAGACCAUCUGCAAAUAUUUAUGGAGGCUCUACUGUGUGCCAGCUCUGUGCCCAGGUCUGCGGGGCACACAGGCGUCCUGUGUGAAACAAGGAAUGUAUGUUAGGAAUGGGAAGACUAGUGGACAUGCAGGAAAUGGAGAAAGGUUUUACCAGCAGGGAAGAGAGUCAGAUGCUAGGCCCAGAAAGACAACGCUUGGCCUCCAGCUACUUGUUCAUGGAGGAGGAGAGAGGGGCCGGUGCCAUGCCGUCUGAUCUGUCUUAGCUACAAGGCCUUCACAAUGGAAGUUUGUCUUUGCAUGGGCUCCACAGAAGCAACAGCUGAGUAGGACAUGCGUGGGAAACAGAGUCGCCAGAGAGACGCUUCCAGAAGGAAAGUCUGUCACUAGGUCCUGGAGCUGGCCAGGUAGCCUAGGGUAGCUGACCCCGCAAAGCCCAGGAGCCUCCUGUCUGCAGCUCUUCACAGUUGAGCCCACAACCUCACCUCACAUCACCACUGCUUAUGUGGGUUCUGAGACUCAAACUCACAUCCUCAUGCUUUCGAACCAAGCAGUGUGCCAACAGAUCCAGCCCCCAGUUCUGGAACUCUUUCAGGACCCAAUUCAGUGGUCAGAAACCAAAGCUGAAGAUACCUUCUGACUCCAGGAGCUUGGUGACCAAUGACUCUGAACUUCAGGAUCUUGGUAAUUCUGUGACGCUCCAAGGAGCUGUCUCCCUGCUUGGCACAGAAAGGGCAAUGUCGGGAGUGGGCUGCCAUGCCUGUUGAAAAGUCCCCGUGACCUGCUCCUCUUGUUUAUGUACUGUCCUGGGGAAGGUAACAAUUUAGAUGGCAAAUGUCGCUGCCAGGGCUGGGAGUCACAGUCUUAAUUCCCGGGUAUUUACUGUGACAGGUUUAAUGUUCUAAUAUCUCAGGGAGACCCAGGCUCCACUCCAGAGCAGACAAGAUAGGAAUGGCCAAGACGCCUCACUUGGCUUUUUAUCCUGACAAUUUAUGAAACCUGAUGCUUCCGUUAGCUCUUAGGCUCAGGGGCCCUGGAGCAAGAUCUGGGGAGCAUCCCAGCUCUGACUGACUGCUGCCUGUCUCUCAUCCCUGAGUGAGCCCCUGGCACUGGCCUUCCUGCGGGGGAUCCCUGGCAGGCCCCUCCUUGAUGGCCUGUAGCUCCACAUUACUUGGCAGCGGACGGCGAUGCCUGCUUCAGUCAGGCUGUGGGGGACCUGAGGCAGCAUCGGUGACAUAGCAACCUCGCUUCCAAAUUCAGCCUCAAGCAAACAUCCGCAUUAGUGAUUCGUUUCCACACUGGGAUCAUCAGUGUGCGGUGGCUCAGACAGCCUCCUCCGCUAGCAGAGCAGAUGCUCCAGCACUGGGUCGAAGCAUUCCUAAGUCCAGUGGACAAAACCAGGCCACACUAUCUCCCUCCAUUCCUCCCCCCAUUCCUGCCCAUAGGUCUGUGUGGACAGAAGGAGCUGAGGGACCUUCCUACCUUAUAUAAGGGGAGGGGGGGAGAAGGGGAGAAAGAAUCACUCUGUAGCCGAGGCUGGCUUUAAACUUGUAACAGCCCUCUUGCCUCAGCCUCCUGAAUUCUGAGGUGACAGGUGCGAACCAUCUCCAGCAAAAUAAUUGUUACAAAGAAAUUUGCUGGGAGCCUUUUAGUUCUUGACCAUGAGCUGGCUUCCUACUCCCUAAUUUGAGCUUCUAUUUCUUCCCCACAAAUUAUUCUAGUGAAAGGGAGAAUAUUUUAUUUACCUAAAUCUUCACUGUGUCUAAAGUGGUCUCCAGGACUGGGGCUUGUGGGAAAGCAGCUGUUUUUAGCGAAGGGCCUGGCACCUGGUAAAUCCUCAAAGGUCAUUCACGACUGUAAUUACUGUCAGCCUCUUUAGGUGGGAUGCCUCUUUGUGUCUUCCAUGAACAGAAUCAUCUCAGGCCUGAAUUGGUUUGUGGGGAGGUAAUUAUGAAACAAAGGGGUCUGGUGACAGCUGGGUCUCAGAGGAAUCAUUCUGCUCACGUGGUCCAAUCGAACUUUCUGUCAUGGUGGAGAUUUUCUAAUCCUCACAGUUCAACACAAUAGCCAAGGGGUGCACGGGGCAAGGCAGCACCUGAGGGGCAGCAAGUACAAAUGAGAAUGUAAAUUUUUAAUUUGAGUUCAUUUAAAUGUAGAUAGCUACAUGUGGCUGGUGCCUACUGGUCUGGUGGGAUGGUGAGGCCCAGGCUGUGGCUACUGAGUAUGUCGUGCAGCAUAUGAGGGACUAGGAGCAGGCUCAGGAGGUAGAGUGCCUGCCCUACAGCGAAAGGAUCUGUUUGGAUCCCUAAGACCCGUGUGAAAUGGGGCACUGUGCUGCUUGCCUGCAACCCCAGAGCUGAGGAAUGGGGACAGGGAUUCCCAGGGUCUUCCUUGCUGGUCAGCAAAUGUAGCUAAAACAGAGUUUCCAGUUCAGAGUGAAGCCGUCUCAAGAAAAAAAAAAAAAAAAAAAAAGGGGCAGGAAAGUGAUUGAGGAAAGAUAACUUGCUGAAAAAUCUCUAGUCUUCACACAUACACACACUCUCACAUAUGCACACACACCACACACAUAUAAUACUAAUAUACACACUUAUAUACACAUAUACAUACAUAUACACACACAUACAUACUCCACAGACACACACAUAUGCACACUUACACAUAUGCACACACACCACACACAUAUACAUACUCACACAUACACACACUUAUACACACACACAUAUAUAUAUAUACAUACAUACACACAUACACACUCCACAGACACACACAUAUACAUACUCACAAAUAUGCACACAUACCACACACAUAUGCAUGCUUACACAUACACACGCUUACACACACAUACACACACUUAUACAUACAUACACACAUGCACACACAAUCACACACACAUAUCACUAAAUGAGUGAACAAUUAUAAACUAGUGACUGGCACAGUUGUAGCUCUCAUGCCACAGGCAGUUAGAGAGACUGAAAACUUUGACCAUAUUAUACACAAAUGUUCUAACAUAAGCAGUCACUAGAAUAUUUGUCCUAAGGAGGCAACAAUCCUCAGUCCUGUGCAUUAAAGAAUUUGUUGGACAUUUCUGGGAGAUGAUGUGCCUGAAACUUGAGCUCUGGCUUGCAGGUUGGCCAUAGACCCUGCCAGAGGACCAUGAAGUCACAUCUGUUCAAAUUGAGCUGGUGAUGUCCUCGACUAGGGAAUGAAAGUCAAACACUACACAGGGGUUUCUGUCAAUGUUUUCUUAGACAUAUUCCAAAUCUUCCAAACAGUGCACAAUAUAAUAUUCUUAGCUUUGGACUCUGCCACUCCACAUCUAGAAAUGAUACUUUCAAAUAUAGAAAUACACUAAGAUGCUAAUAACAACGGGACUUACGUUAGCAUCUCCUUGGAAACAGGCCACAGAUUUAUUAAGGGACAGGCCAAAGGAACAACACAAUAAAACACUGGAAGUAAUUCAAGUGGUUAUAGAGAAAUGGCUAAGAAAAUACUUGAUAUAAAUGUGAUAGAAUAUCCUAUAGCCAUUAAAAAUCAUAUUUACAUUAAAA